rnacentral:rRNA from 1 species
AAACCAGCACCUCAAGUGGUCAGGAUGAUUAUUGGGCCUAAAGCAUCCGUAGCCGGCUAUGUUAGUUUUCGGUUAAAUCCAUGUGCUCAACACAUGGGCUGUCGGGAAUACUGCAUAGCUAGGGAGUGGGAGAGGUAGACGGUACUCGGUAGGAAGGGGUAAAAUCCUUUGAUCUAUUGAUGACCACCAGUGGCGAAGGCGGUCUACCAGAACACGUCCGACGGUGAGGGAUGAAAGCUGGGGGAGCAAACCGGAUUAGAAACCCGAGUAGUCC